AUUGAACGCUGGCGGCAGGCUUAACACAUGCAAGUCGAGCGGAGAUGAGGUGCUUGCACCUUAUCUUAGCGGCGGACGGGUGAGUAAUGCUUAGGAAUCUGCCUAUUAGUGGGGGACAACAUUCCGAAAGGAAUGCUAAUACCGCAUACGUCCUACGGGAGAAAGCAGGUGAUCUUCGGACCUUGCGCUAAUAGAUGAGCCUAAGUCGGAUUAGCUAGUUGGUGGGGUAAAGGCCUACCAAGGCGACGAUCUGUAGCGGGUCUGAGAGGAUGAUCCGCCACACUGGGACUGAGACACGGCCCAGACUCCUACGGGAGGGAGCAGUGGGGAAUAUUGGACAAUGGGGGGAACCCUGAUCCAGCCAUGCCGCGUGUGUGAAGAAGGCCUUAUGGUUGUAAAGCACUUUAAGCGAGGAGGAGGCUACUGAGACUAAUACUCUUGGAUAGUGGACGUUACUCGCAGAAUAAGCACCGGCUAACUCUGUGCCAGCAGCCGCAGUAACAC
rnacentral:rRNA from 1 species